rnacentral:rRNA from 1 species
CCUACGGGUGGCAGCAGUGGGGAAUAUUGCACAAUGGGGGAAACCCUGAUGCAGCGACGCCGCGUGAGUGAGGAAGUAUUUCGGUAUGUAAAGCUCUAUCAGCAUGGAAGAAAAUGACGGUACCUGACUAAGAAGCCCCGGCUAACUAGGUGCCAGCAGCCGCGGUAAUACGUAGGGGGCAAGCGUUAUCCGGAUUUACUGGGGGUAAAGGGAGCGUAGACGGCUAAUCAAGUCAGCAGUGAAAGCCCAGGGCUCAACUUUGGGACUGCUUUUGAAACUGAGUAGCUAGAGUGCAGGAGAGGUGAGCGGAAUUCCUAGGGGAGCGGUGAAAUGCGUAGAUAUUAGGAGGAACACCAGUGGCGAAGGCGACUUACUGGACUGUAACGGACGUUGAGGCUCGAAAGCGUGGGGAGCAAACAGGAUUAGAUACCCCUGUAGUC